CAGCGGAGCGUGUGGUUUAAUUCGAUGAUACACGAAGAACCUUACCCAGGCUUGACAUGCAGGUGGUAGGGAUCCGAAAGGUGACCGACCCUUCGGGGAGCCUGCACAGGUGCUGCAUGGCUGUCGUCAGCUCGUGUCGUGAGAUGUCCGGUUAAGUCCGGUAACGAGUGCAACCCUUGCUGUAUGUUACAUGUGUCAUACGGGACUGCCGGUAUCAAGCCGGAGGAAGUGGGGAUGACGUCAAGUCAGCAUGGCCUUUAUGUCUGGGGCUACACACACGCUACAAUGGCCAGUACAAUAGGUUGCAAAGCCGCGAGGUGGAGCCAAUCCUUAAAACCGGUCUCAGUUCGGAUCGAAGUCUGCAACUCGACUUCGUGAAGCUGGAUUCGCUAGUAAUCGCGCAUCAGCUAUGGCGCGUCGAUACGUUCCGGCCUU
rnacentral:rRNA from 1 species